rnacentral:lncRNA from 1 species
GCAACCCAAUAUUUUAUUUUUCAAUUACCCAACUUUUAUUCAGUAGGAAUCUAAUAAGGACAACAAGCUAAGUUGGGAGGAGAGCAACAUCAACAUCUGAUGAGGGCCCAUGGGUAACAUGAAAGAACCUACAAACAAUAGCAAAUUAGGUGGUAUCCCUCCUUUUGUAUUUUUUUUUAAGUUUUUCUCUUCUUCCAUUGGGGACAAUGAAAAUUAAGUAGGGGGA